CAACUCUCAACAACGGAUAUCUUGGCUCCCGUAACGAUGAAGAACGCAGCGAAAUGCGAUACGUAGUGUGAAUUGCAGAAUUCCGUGAACCAUCGAAUCUUUGAACGCAAAUUGCGCUCGAGGCCUCGGCUAAGAGCAUGUCUGGCUCAGCGUC
rnacentral:rRNA from 2 species